rnacentral:rRNA from 1 species
CGCAAGCCUGAUGCAGCCAUGCCGCGUGUAUGAAGAAGGCCUUCGGGUUGUAAAGUACUUCAGCAGUGAGGAAGGUGGAUAUGUUAAUAGCAUAUUCAUUUGACGUUAGCUGCAGAAGAAGCACCGGCUAACUCCGUGCCAGCAGCCGCGGUAAUACGGAGGGUGCGAGCGUUAAUCGGAAUUACUGGGCGUAAAGCGCAUGCAGGUGGUUUGUUAAGUCAGAUGUGAAAGCCCCGGGGCUCAACCUCGGAAUUGCAUUUGAAACUGGCAAACUAGAGUACUGUAGAGGGGGUAGAAUUUCAGGGUGUAGCGGUGAAAUGCGUAGAGAUCUGAAGGAAUACCGGUGGCGAAGGCGGCCCCCCUGGACAGAUACUGACACUCAGUAUGCGAAAGCGUGGGGAGCCAAACAGGAUUAGAUACCCUGGUAG